GGGUACACGCGAGAACCGCCGGAAUCCCUUGCUUCCAAAAGCCGGUGUCGCAUGUUCGAAUCAUGCCGGGGGCACCA
rnacentral:tRNA from 1 species